GAUGAACGCUAGCGGCAUGCCUAACACAUGCAAGUCGAGGGGUAGAAGGAGCUUGCUCCUUUGAGACCGGCGCACGGGUGCGUAACGCGUAUGCAAUCUACCUUGUACAGGGGAAUAGCCCAGAGAAAUUUGGAUUAAUGCCCCAUAGUAUAUAACCUUCGCAUGUUGGUUAUAGUAAAGUUCCAACGGUACAAGAUGAGGCUGCGUCCCAUUAGUUAGUUGGUAAGGUAACGGCUUACCAAGACGAUGUUGGGGAGGGGUCCUGAGAGGGAGAUCCCCCAGACUGGUACCGAGACACGGACCAGAAUGCUACGGGAGGCAGCAGUACGGAAUAUUGGUGAAUGGUCGAAAGACUAAACCAGCCAUGCCGCGUGCAGGAAGACGGUGCUAUGGAUUGUAAACUGCUUUUAUAGAAGAAGAAACGCUCCCACGUGUGGGAGCUUGACGGUACUGUAGGAAUAAGGAUCGGCUAACUACGUG
rnacentral:rRNA from 1 species